CUGAGUCCUCAGAGAUUGGGAUGAUGCUGCCUUGGUGUGAAUACCAUCUUUCCCCCUUUAUGCUUCUUAUGCCCAGAGACGGGGAGGAGGAGGUGCAUAUACAGAUUAAAAAGGAUAGAAGGUAAAGGGAGAGGGUAGCUGUAGCAACUGGAGAUAUCAGAAAAGGCUUUAGUCCCUUCAGCUGGAACUAGAAGGGAGCUAAGGCUCUAAGAGGGGGAAGUAGGGUAGGAGGGCAUUUUAAGGUGGGUGACACCUUGAAGGAUCAGAGAGAAGAGAGGGAGUGUCAUGUAUUAGGAACAGUAAAGAUGUUUCACUUGGCGAAUCCAUGAGUUUAUCAAGUGUUCAUGAAGCUGUCGCUGGAACUCUUCGCAUGCCUAAAUAUGGGUCGCCUCCUCUCCCUCCUCUCCAGGUGGGGCCACCAGCCACGGGUAGGAGGCUCAGACCAACAUGACAACACGUGGAUUAUUUUGGACCAUACUGAAGAUGAACAUUUCUGCCCUGUUUUCCACAGCCUUUAUAGGAAGAAAGGUCUUGUAGUAAGAAGACAUAAAUGCUGAUCUCUACUCUGAUACUUACCUGACG